GGGGAUGUAGCUCAGUUGGGAGAGCGUUUGACUGGCAGUCAAAAGGUCGAGGGUUCGAUUCCCUUCAUCUCCA
rnacentral:tRNA from 1 species